rnacentral:rRNA from 1 species
CCUACGGGAGGCAGCAGUAGGGAAUAUUGCUCAAUGGGGGAAACCCUGAAGCAGCAACGCCGCGUGGAGGAUGAAGGUUUUCGGAUUGUAAACUCCUUUUGUUAGAGAAGAUAAUGACGGUAUCUAACGAAUAAGCACCGGCUAACUCCGUGCCAGCAGCCGCGGUAAUACGGAGGGUGCAAGCGUUACUCGGAAUCACUGGGGGUAAAGAGCGCGUAGGCGGGAUAGCAAGUCAGAUGUGAAAUCCUAGGGCUUAACCAUAGAACUGCAUUUGAAACUGGUAUUCUAGAGUAUGGGAGAGGUAGGUGGAAUUCUUGGUGUAGGGGUAAAAUCCGUAGAGAUCAAGAGGAAUACUCAUUGCGAAGGCGACCUGCUAGAACAUAACUGACGCUGAUGCGCGAAAGCGUGGGGAGCAAACAGGAUUAGAUACCCCUGUAGUC